rnacentral:lncRNA from 1 species
GUGCAUUUUACAAUUUUCACUAGUUGGUCCUUGUAAUUCCAACGGAUAUAAUUUAACAAUUGGUCGGUUUGUAAUACCAGUAUCUGUUUUGAUGAUAGCAGUGCGGAUAAAUCCAUCUUUUCCACGAAUCAACUCCUUCACGACGGCUAACCUCCACAUAAGUCUAUUUGAAUCGUUGUGAACUUGAACGAUGUCUCCUACUUCAAUAGUUUGAACGUUAUUACCAGUUGCACGGUGGAAUUCUCUUAAAGAUGUUAAAUAUUCAUUCCUCCAACGUGUACGAAAAUGUUCAAUCAGUUGAUGUUGUCUCUGAAGUUUUUUGUUACAAGACGAAUGGUUAGAAUUGUGAAAGUUUUCAAUAUCAUCCAUUUGAUGUGGUAGCGAAUCCAAUCUCCUUCCGUUUAGUAAGUGUGAUGGCGUAAGUGGUUGUGGGUCGGUUAUGUCUGUUGAUAUAUACGUAAUCGGACGAUUAUUCAGCAUGCUUUCAAUUUCAGUCACUAUGGUUCGAAGCAUGUCAAUAGUAACAAAUGAUCGACCUAAUACUUUUUUAAUAGCAUUUUUGGUUAGUCCUAUAAGUCUUUCCCACCAUCCACCAAACCAUGGGGCUCUGUUUGGGAUAAAUUUCCAUUCGGUUCCAUGCUCCACCAUUUUUUGUUGAAUUGAUUGGGCUGCAGCUUUAAAUGUAUUAGCGU